rnacentral:rRNA from 1 species
CAAUAGCGUAUAUUAAAGUUGCUGCGUUUAAAAGCUCGUAGUUGGAUCUCGGUUCCAGGCCUGCGGUCCGCCUCGAGGCGGAUACUGCUCGUCCUGUGUUCGACGUCGUGGUGGUCCCUUGGUGCUCUUGACUGAGUGUCUCGGGCGGUCCCGAACGUUUACUUUGAAAAAUUAGAGUGCUCAAAGCAGGCGUAUCGCCUGAAUAAUUCCGCAUGGAAUAAUGGAAUAGGACCUCGGUUCCAGUUUCGUUGGUUUGCGAAUCCUUGAGGUAAUGAUUAAUAGGGACUGCCGGGGGCAUACGUAUUGCGGCGGGAGAGGUGAAAUUCGUGGAUCGCCGCAAGACGAACGACAGCGAAAGCAUUUGCCAAGAAUGUUCUCAUUAAUCAAGAACGAAAGUCAGAGGUUCGAAGAUGAUCAGAUACCAU